AAAAAAAAAAAGAAGAAAGAAUUACUAUAAAAUACUCUACCCAUUAAAAUGCAGCAUUUCAGUCGAAAUGGACAGCUGUCAUCAAAACCAAAACAAACACAGCAGUUCACGCAACCAGAAAUCAACAGCCUGCAUUUCCUGUCUAUUAUGGAAACUGAAUUUCUCAUGAAAGAGCUCCAGUGCAGAAUCCUAGGGUCCGUUCCUUCCACUGGGGGACAUUCAGGAGAAAACUACAUCAGCCCCGGACAGUCUCUCCCAGGAACCAGAAGAGGAAGCCGGACUUCCCAGCCCAUUCCAUCUGGUGAUUUUCCAGGCUGACCACUGACCUGCACCCACCAGCACUUGGGGGCUGCAUUUGACCAGCCCUCCUCGUCAUUUCCUCGGUUGCCCCACUGAGAUGUGUGCAAGGGUGGACUGCACGCUGGGCUUCAGAGGCUCGGUAUGGGGGCCUUGGUGUAACACAGCACUUGCCUGCAGUGCCUGAGGCCCUGGUUCCAACCCCAGCACCCACCAGCCUGGCUUGUGGGUGCUGGGACAGGUCACAGGCAGGAGACCCAGGCUACUACCAGGGCCCAGCUGAUUCUCCCGGGCGCAGGGGGUGUAACAGCUGGGAGGCCCCCACUGCAACCUCCGCGACCCAGGCCCGCCACCCAUUUCUUCCUGCAGGCCGCAGCCUUCCACCCUCUGCUGCAGACCCUCUCCCUCUGACCAUGCCCCACAGGGACCCCAGAGCAGCCUGCAAGGUAGGAGCUCAGUUCCAUCUCUACCCCAGACCCCCUCCGUACCCCUCAGAGGGCUUCCCCUUCCCCCAGCUCUGAUGCCAGCCCUCCCACCCCAUGGAGAACCACCCCCACAUCUUCCAGGCCUCUGCUCUGCAGACAAGUGUCCUGCGUCCCCUGCCCGUCUGGGGACCUGGACCCCAGAACACUCCCUCUCUGUGGGCCCACCUCUGCCCCUCUGCGGCAGAACCAGGUCAGGCUCGCCCCCUUGCCCCCCACAGCAGCCAGAGGGGCUGACCCUAAAUGAGGUCAGCCAGUCCGCAGUCCCACACACCCCAUCCAGAUUAAGAUGCCCUGAAAACGGGGCCAGCUGCCUGUGUGGAACUCUGAGGCCACUAGGGGGCGAGUGUGCACCAUAGACUCUCCCCAACGGGGUCCCCGCCCCCAGCCGCCCUCCGAAAGACCCGGGAUUCUCCCACUCUGUUGGACUUACCUUGUCACAGAUGGGGCAGCGAUGCCAGCCUGGCACCCCCACGUCACUGUACUUCACUCCUGGGCUCUGCAAGCACUGGGCCCUGCAGGGUGCUGAGCAAUGUCCCUGUGCCCACCCACUGCUGCCAGGAGCUCCCUCCUCGCCACAGCCAUGCAAGUCCCCAGGCGUGGCCCAGAGUCCUGGGGGGCAGGAUCGUCCCCCCAGGUGAGACCGAGUGGGCAGGAGACCCAGCUUGGGUACUUGGGGAUAAGGACAGUUGCCCCAGGUCCCCGCGCUGGCCUUCUGUGAGAAGCCUGGGCCCAGCCUGGCACCCCUCUGCCCCCUGCUUUGCAGCUCCCAGACCUGUGAGCUGGUCCUCGUUUGGGAAAAGGGUCUUCACAGGUGUGGCCAGUCGAGGCCAGGGUCUGGGAUGAGACCAUCCUGGGUUGCUGAGGUGGCCCCAAACCCAUGGAGUCGACAGAGGAACGGCUGGGUGCCGUCCGAGGCCCGGGGGCCAUGAGGAGAGGCAGGAAGGAGGCCCCACAGUCGGCAGGACUGGACACUGACCCCCCAGGACGGGGAGAGGAGAGCUCUGGUCUUUGAAGUCCCAGGUUGUGGUCACUUGUCACAGCAGCCCUGGAAAUUAAUGCAGGAUACUGAGAAUUAUUUAUGACAAAAAAAUCCAUGCUGACAGCGAAUGGUUUUAAGAAUCUUGACAAAAGGGCAGCGCUAUCCCGGUCAAGACAGACCACGUUCCGUCACCUUCACCAGCUCCCCGCACCCCGGGGCGCAGCUCUCCUCACACCCGGGUCUUCUGGAGCACGGCCCUGCACCUCUGGUUCACACCCCAGUCCUUUUUAUUUUUUAUUUGGAGACCAGGCCUCGCUAGCUGCCCAGGCUGGCCUGGAACUCAGCACCCUCCUGCCUCAGCCUCCACGCUUGCCCGCCCAGCCUUGCACCCACAGGGCCACGUCCUGUCUCUGGACUCCUGUCCUGGACCCUCCUGACACAGAGCACACCCUGUGGUCCGUGUGUCUGGCUCUCGGAUCCGCCCACGCUGCAGCUGUGUCACCUCGCUCCUAACCUGGCUGAGGUAAGGUGCACAGACCGCUGUGUGUAUCUGUCCAUCUGCUGGUGGGCGCUUGGGCUGUCCCACCUUUGGGCUACUGUGGCUUCUGCACUGUGACGGUGUGUCCAGAGGAUGAGGCGUGCAGGAGAGGGGUGCUGGGCUCCGGUGCGCCUUUGACUCGCCUUCUGGAACCAGCCGAUGCGUCCUAGUCCAGGCCUCAGCACCACAGAGAGAACCCGCCAAUUCUGGACUGCGGGGAACAACAUGGGUAAAAACCACGGGAAAAGCGAGGGGCUCGGAGGCUGACGCAGGAGCAGACACGGGGGGCGCUGUGGCCCGUCUCCACCCUGCCCACCGCUGCUGGAGCACGCGGGACUUCUGGGCUCAGCGGCCAUGGUGGAAGUGCCCGCGGGAGGGAAGGGUUCUGUUUAAGCUCAAAGCCGGGCUGGGGUGUCGCUCAGUCGCGCGCUUACCCAGCACAAGCCGGGCCUGAAUUCCAACCCCAGCUCUGCACCCCAAAACCGCAGACAGCCAGACUGCCCACUGGUAGACGAACAGCCUGGCCCAUCCGGGUAACAGAAUGCCACUCAGCCUCCAGCAGGAGCGAGGCGCCACGCUGUCCUGUGCAUGGACCCGAGGACGGGCGCACAGCCACCUGAGCUGCCCGGCAGGACCGGGCUGCAGGAGCCGCCCACAGGAGGUCCUGUAGCCCUGGGAGCCACAGAGGCGGGAGGCGGCUCCGUGGGAGCCAGGCUGGGAACCAGUGUUCCACCGGACAGAGCAUCAAUUCAGGAAGAUGAGAGCACUCUGCAUAUGGAUGGACCUUUGCACAUGCUGUGCCCUGGGCUGGACCUGCCCUUACCACUCUGACAUGGUGCAGCCCUGCCCAGCUUGUUUCCAGCAUCAGUGUCAGCUCCUCGUAGAGAGGUGGAGCCCACACUCCCGAGCCAGCUGGACUGGUACAUUCCUGGGGCAGAAGUGUCUCCCUUGCUCACAACUGAGCGCCCAGGACCAGUGCCUACUGGUCGCACUGUGAGCAGCAGAGACUGGUGAACAAAUGAAGGUGGCUAUGGGGACCUGCAGCCAUGGGAGCAGGGGUCAGCCAGCAAGCCUCCUCCCAGAUGCGCUGGAGACAGAUCAUGCUGAGCCACAGCAGAGACUUGGGGCUUCCCUGUGACUCAAAGGC